rnacentral:pre_miRNA from 1 species
UAUUGUAUUAGGUAUUAUAAAUAACUUCAAGGCAAUAUUUAAAAUGGCUGCAAGUCAUUUUGGGACUGGCUUAGUUAUUUACAAUAUCCUGUUCAC